AUGAUACGACUGAUGAUUUUGAUGGCGACGAUGAGGGCAAUGAAAAAGGCAUCCAUUAUGAGGACGAUGAAGAAGAAGGCAUCCAUGAUGAGGACGAUGAAGAAGGAGGCAUCCAUGAUGACGAAGAUGAAGAGAAAAUUGGCACAACCGGUGCUGCUGAUAAUGAUGAUUCUCAUGGUGAUAGAGGAGAUGUACAUGAAGAUGAAGAUGAUGAAUUCAAAAGCGAAGAGGGCCAUGGGGCUGGGAGCAUGGGGACUACGGGAUCUUGGGAUUACAUCCCCACAAGGACAUCGUGCUCCUGCACCAUGUGUAUGA
rnacentral:rRNA from 1 species